GGGCCGAUAGCUCAGGUGGUUAGAGCACACGGCUGAUAACCGUGAGGUCGGAAGUUCGAAUCUUCCUCGGCCCA
rnacentral:tRNA from 1 species